rnacentral:rRNA from 1 species
CGGAGGGCGUAGCGUUGUUCGGAAUUACUGGGCGUAAAGCGCACGUAGGCGGACCGGAAAGUCAGAGGUGAAAUCCCAGGGCUCAACCUUGGAACUGCCUUUGAAACUAUCGGUCUGGAGUUCGAGAGAGGUGAGUGGAAUUCCGAGUGUAGAGGUGAAAUUCGUAGAUAUUCGGAGGAACACCAGUGGCGAAGGCGGCUCACUGGCUCGAUACUGACGCUGAGGUGCGAAAGCGUGGGGAGCAAACAGGAUU